rnacentral:rRNA from 1 species
ACUGGGCGUAAAGGGCACGCAGGCGGUUAUUUAAGUGAGGUGUGAAAGCCCCGGGCUUAACCUGGGAAUUGCAUUUCAGACUGGGUAACUAGAGUACUUUAGGGAGGGGUAGAAUUCCACGUGUAGCGGUGAAAUGCGUAGAGAUGUGGAGGAAUACCGAAGGCGAAGGCAGCCCCUUGGGAAUGUACUGACGCUCAUGUGCGAAAGCGUGGGGAGCAAACAGGAUUAGAUACCCUGGUAGUCCACGCUGUAAACGCUGUCGAUUUGGGGAUUGGGCUUAAAGCUUGGUGCCCGUAGCUAACGUGAUAAAUCGACCGCCUGGGGAGUACGGCCGCAAGGUUAAAACUCAAAUGAAUUGACGGGGGCCCGCACAAGCGGUGGAGCAUGUGGUUUAAUUCGAUGCAACGCGAGGAACCUUACCCGGGCUUGAAUUGCAGAGGAAGGAUUUAGAGAUAAUGACGCCCUUCGGGGUCUCUGUGAAGGUGCUGCAUGGUUGUCGUCAGCUCGUGUCGUGAG